CGCUGAGGUCCGGAGUCAGUGGGUUAUCAUCUGAUAGAACCCCCCACUGGCAAUCACUUGACCUCCGC
rfam:Oesophagostomum dentatum strain OD-Hann O_dentatum-1.0_Cont154.35, whole genome shotgun sequence.